AUGGAAUGAAUCAAGAGCUAUUUGAAGGAGGUACAGCUCCUUUAAAAAAGAACACAAUCUCCCCCAGCGGAUAACUACUCACAAUACCCCCCCCCCCAUUGUGGGCCUUCAAGCAGCCACCAACAAAGAGUGCGUCAAAGCUCACCAUCAAAAAAUCUAUGAAACACUACGACUCCCUACCCUCCCCCAGCAGGCCAACCUAUGACAAUAGGAGAAUUAAUGCUAAAAUGAGUAACUAGGGACUACCCUCUCAGGCGCAAGCUUACACAACCACGUUAUUAACAGACCAGCUAAUAUCCUAAACCUCAACAAGAAUCCAUAUUAAAAUACCCUGUUAACCCAACCCAGGAGCGCCUACCAGAAAGAUUAAAAUCUGCAAAAGGAACUCGGCAACCACAAGGCCCGACUGUUUACCAAAAACAUAGCCUUCAGCAAAACAAGUAUUGAAGGUGAUGCCUGCCCAGUGACAUACGUUUAACGGCCGCGGUAUCCUAACCGUGCGAAGGUAGCGCAAUCAAUUGUCCCAUAAAUCGAGACUUGUAUGAAUGGCUAAACGAGGCCUUAACUGUCUCUUGCAGAUAAUCAGUGAAAUUGAUCUUCCUGUGCAAAAGCCGGAAUAACAACAUAAGACGAGAAGACCCUGUGGAACUUAAAAAUCAGCGGCCACCCCACACAACCCCAAACCUAAUAGGUCCACCCACCCCAAGCACUGGCCCGCAUUUUUCGGUUGGGGCGACCUUGGAGAAAAACAAAUCCUCCAAAAAUAAGACCACCCCUCUUAACCGAGGACAACUACCCAAAGUACUAACAGUAACCAGACCCAAUACAAUUGAUUAAUGGACCAAGCUACCCCAGGGAUAACAGCGCAAUCCCCUCCAAGAGCCCAUAUCGACGAGGGGGUUUACGACCUCGAUGUUGGAUCAGGACAUCCUAAUGGUGCAGCCGCUAUUAAGGGUUCGUUUGUUCAACGAUUAAUAGUCCUACGUGAUCUGAGUUCAGACCGGAGCAAUCCAGGUCGGUUUCUAUCUAUGAUAAGCUCCCCCUAGUACGAAAGGACCGGGGAAGCGAGGCCAAUACUACAAGCAUGCCUUCCCUCUAAACAAUGAACUCAACUAAACUGUCAAGAGGUAACCCACCCACCCAUCCUAGAAAAGGACCGCUAGCGUGGCAGAGCUCGGCAAAUGCAA
rnacentral:rRNA from 1 species